UCUACCAUCUCUUAGUGUUAUUUUUUUUUAAACAUAUAUAUCUAUUAACGAACUAAAUGUUGUCACAAGCAAUAUUACAGUUAAAAACAAUUGGCGCGUAUUUUUUGCGGCGUGAGAGCGACUGCAGAAAAGUUUAGCCUGUUGCCUCGUGAAGUGACGUCAGAAUGACGUCACAUUGUCGCGGAAGAUUUGUUGUCACCAGCCAUCUUAGCUCAAACUCACUCUGGACAUAAUAUAUUACAAGCAAGUGAUUGUGCAGCAACUGGAACUGGACAGAUGAUCUGUGAAUUCGAUUGAGGUGGAGAAAACAGUAUUGUGGGAGCGUAUUUGUUUAAAGUACAUAUCACUGACAGAAAGUUACCAAGGCAUAAGGAGAGAC